CCUACGGGAGGCAGCAGUGAGGAAUAUUGGUCAAUGGCCGUAAGGCUGAACCAGCCAAGUCGCGUGAAGGAAGAAGGAUCUAUGGUUUGUAAACUUCUUUUAUAGGGGAAUAAAGGUAUCCACGUGUGGAGAUUUGUAUGUACCCGAUGAAUAAGCAUCGGCUAACUCCGUGCCAGCAGCCGCGGUAAUACGGAGGAUGCGAGCGUUCUCCGGAUUUAUUGGGUUUAAAGGGUGCGUAGGUUGUUUUUUAAGUCAGCGGUGAAAGUUUGUGGCUCAACCAUAAAAUUGCCGUUGAAACUGGCAGACUUGAGUGUGUUUGAGGUAGGCGGAAUGCGUGGUGUAGCGGUGAAAUGCAUAGAUAUCACGCAGAACUCCGAUUGCGAAGGCAGCUUACUAAGCCAUAACUGACACUGAAGCACGAAAGCGUGGGGAUCAAACAGGAUUAGAUACCCUAGUAGUC
rnacentral:rRNA from 1 species